rnacentral:rRNA from 1 species
AAUCAACGCUGGCGGCGUGCCUAACACAUGCAAGUCGAACGCGAAAGUCCCGCAAGGGAUAAGUAGAGUGGCAAACGGGUGAGUAACACGUGGGUGACCUGCCUUCGAGUGGGGGAUAACGUCCCGAAAGGGACGCUAAUACCGCAUAACAUCCUGCCUUUUAAGUAGGUGGAGAUCAAAGCCGGGGAUCGCAAGACCUGGCGCUUAAAGAGGGGCCCGCGUCCGAUUAGCUAGUUGGUGGGGUAAUGGCUCACCAAGGCAUCGAUCGGUAUCCGGCCUGAGAGGGGCGGACGGACACACUGGGACUGAGACACGGCCCAGACUCCUACGGGAGGCAGCAGUGGGGAAUUGUUCGCAAUGGGCGCAAGCCUGACGACGCAACGCCGCGUGGAGGAUGAAGACCUCGGUCGUAACUA